AGUGAACGCUGGCGGCAGGCUUAACACAUGCAAGUCGAACGGCAGCACAGUACUAGCUUGCUCUAACGGGUGGAGAGUGGUGGACGGCAGGGGAAUACACUGGAAUCUACUUUUUCGUAGGGGGUAGCGCAGGGAUACUUACGCUAAUACAGCAUACCACCUACGGGUGAAUGCAGGGGAUCUUCGUACCUUGCGCGAUUGAAUGAGCCGAUGUCGGAUUAGCUAGUUGGCGGGGUAAAGGCCCACCAAGGCGACGAUCCGUGGCUGGUCUGAGAGGAUGAUCAGCCACACUGGAACUGAGGCACGGUCAUGACUCCUACGGGAGGCACCAGUGGGGAAUAUUGGACAAUUGGCGCAAGCCGGAUCCAGCCAUACCGCGUGGGUGAGGGAGGCCUUCGGGUUGUAAAGCCCCUGUCUUGGGACAGAAAAGCACCAGGGUGAUACCCCGCUGUUCUGACGGUACCCAAGGAAUAAGCACCGGCUAACUCCGUG
rnacentral:rRNA from 1 species